rnacentral:rRNA from 1 species
UACGGGGGGGGCAAGCGUUGUUCGGAAUUACUGGGCGUAAAGGGCUCGUAGGCGGCCAACUAAGUCGGACGUGAAAUCCCUCGGCUCAACCGGGGAACUGCGUCCGAUACUGGAUGGCUUGAGUUCGGGAGAGGGAUGCGGAAUUCCAGGUGUAGCGGUGAAAUGCGUAGAUAUCUGGAGGAACACCGGUGGCGAAGGCGGCGAUCCUGGACCGACACUGACGCUGAGGAGCGAAAGCCAGGGGAGCAAACGGG